ensembl:snoRNA
CCUCCCGUUCUUGGCGGGCCCCGGCGGCGCCGUGCCCGGGCCUGUGAUGUUCGGAGGAAGAGCAGCGACCGGCGCGAAGUCUUCGGUGCCCGCGGUUUCCCCUCCGCCGGUCCUACCCUCACGUGCCGGGACAAGG